AGCGGCGAACGGGUGAGUAACGCGUGGGCAACCUGGCCUUAAGAAAAGGAUAGCCCCCGGAAACGGGGAGUAAUACUUUAUGAGAAUGAAAGAGGGCAUCCUACUUUCAUUCAAAGCGCAAGCGCUUAAGGAUGGGCCCGCGUAUCAUUAGCUAGUUGGUGAGAUAACAGCCCACCAAGGCAACGAUGAUUAGCCGGUCUGAGAGGGCGAACGGCCACAUUGGAACUGAGAGACGGUCCAAACUCCUACGGGAGGCAGCAGUGGGGAAUAUUGCGCAAUGGAGAAGAACUCUGACGCAGCAAUACCGCGUGAGCGAAGAAGGUCUUCGGAUCGUAAAGCUCUGUUAUCAGGGAAGAAGAAAAUGACGGUACCUGAUGAGCAAGUCCCGGCUAACUACGUGCCAGCAGCCGCGGUAAUACGUAGGGGACAAGCGUUGUCCGGAAUCACUGGGCGUAAAGGGCGCGCAGGCGGUGAUUUAAGCAGGAUGUGAAAGGCUACGGCUCAACCGUAGACAUGCACCCUGAACUGGGUCACUUGAGUAUUGGAGAGGCAGGCAGAAUUCCUGGUGUAGCGGUGAAAUGCGUAGAUAUCAGGAGGAAUACCGGAGGCGAAGGCGGCCUGCUGGACAAAUACUGACGCUGAGGCGCGAAAGCGUGGGGAGCAAACAGGAUUAGAUACCCUGGUAGUCCACGCC
rnacentral:rRNA from 1 species